UGGGGAUUAGCCAAGUCGGUAAGGCACAUGACUUUGACUCAUGUAUGCGUCGGUUCGAGUCCUGCAUCGCCAGCCA
rnacentral:tRNA from 1 species